GAUGAACGCUGGCGGCGUGCUUAAUACAUGCAAGUCGAACGGACAGGCGCUGCUUUUGCGGCGUGCUCGAGUGGCGAACGGGUGAGUAACACGUGAGUAACCUGUCCUUGUCUUUGGGAUAACUUUUGGAAACUGGGGCUAUUAUAGCAUAGGAGCUCCUGCUGCGUGGUGGGGGUUGGAAAGUUUCGGUGGUUGGGGCUGGACGCGCGGCUUAUCAGCUUGUUGGUGAGGUAGUGGCUUACCAAGGCUUUGACGGGUAGCCGGCCUGAGAGGGGGACCGGCCACAUUGGUACUAAGGUACGGCCCAGACUCGUACGGGAGGCAGCAGUGGAGAGUAUUGCACAAUGGGCGGAAGCCAGAUGCAGCAACGCCGCGUGCGGAAUGACGGCCUUCGGGUUGUAAACCGCUUUCGCCUGUAACGAAGCGUGAGUGACGGUAAUGAGUAAGGAAGCACCGGCUAACUACGUG
rnacentral:rRNA from 1 species